GCUAAUAUGUACUAAAUGAAGUAUAAAAGAAUCAGAUCAUGUCUACACAUAUAACAUUUGAAUGUUGAUAUCUUUGUUGCUAUCUAUGAAAGACUGAGGUAUUUACUACCAAAAUAGAAUGGUUCUCUUUUUCUAUCUUGUAGAAAAGAAGUUAGGAUAAUGGAAAUAAUUUUCUCAAUUUACAUAUUUUCCUCAUUAAUCACUCUGAAACAUUUGACUUCUACUGCUUAUAAUAGAAUCUGAUACAAGAAAACAACAGCUUUGCAAAAAUGUAGCUGUUAUACCUUGCAGAAUAUACAGGCUUGAGCUCAUUGCCACCAAAUGCCUACAAAAAUCAUGACUUAGAGCAUCUUGUAUUCACAAUAGGAGCCAUGGUCUGAAGGAAAACUACACUACAGCCUGGAAAGUCUACCUUUGGCCUAGCUAGACCAGUAGGGAGCCAAGCAGUUGACCACAGAAGAGUGACCUCUGAAGACUUGCUUUACUGAAUGGUGCUUUGGUGGAAGUCUUCAACUUCUGAGGGCUGCACAGGGAACAGACAAUGCUGCUCUUGCUAAAGGCAUGGUGCACAUUACAUAGUGACCUCUUUCUAUGGACCUUUGGGAGAAAUUUAUUUUUAAUUUUAGUCUCAAGGAAAGUGUGCUGCUUUUGAAUAGUUUUGGGGACAUUGUACUAUAUAACUAAUAAGGUUUUUCUUUCUGCAUUGGCUAGUAAAAAUCCUCAGUUGACCCCAAGUUCAUUCAGAGCAAGAUCAAGGACAUAAUGGCAAGCAUUUUCAUGGUGGCCUCUUUCUACUCCUUGUUUAUGUUUCUAUCUCUAGUUUUGCUUUUUCUCCUACUUUAGCAUAUGUUAUCA
rnacentral:lncRNA from 1 species